CGUCCCUUCGAUAGCUCAGCUGGUAGAGCGGAGGACUGUAGCUACUUCCUCAGCAGGAGACAUCCUUAGGUCGCUGGUUCGAUUCCGGCUCGAAGGAGACAAGUGCGGUUUUUUUCUCCAGCUCCCGAUGACUUAUGGCACUUUCCUUGGGUGCCUUCAGUGACACAUUGCAUUCCAACGAGCAGUUUGAAAGUCUAGCGCUUUCUCCCCAUUUUGGGCCUCCCAGCCUGCACGGGACUCAUCUGAGGCUAAGCUGCCCAUAGUUCGGGGAGACCCACAGGGAAAACAAAACAAGAAACAGAGAACUUGGAAACGGACGCUGAUUACUUUGAACGUUUGCUCAACCGAGGAAGCAGGAACUGUUCGGCCCCAUCUCAAGUCCGCAGGGCGGACUGCCUGGCUCUGGGCAGAUCCGAGGUGGAUAGGACAAGGCAAAAGGUAGCCCUGGAGAGCUGUACUCUCCAUCUAACCAUAAGUUCUUUGUUCUGUUUGAUGAACAAAUGGCUCCUUAAACUAAGCCUGGAUUAUUUUCAAGUACCUGGACUUGCAAUUACCUGCACCAAAGAGACAAAAGAGAACAUGGGUGGAUACCUUUAUGGUGAAGGGAUUUGAAUUUAGCUUUUAAAUUGGAAUUUUUCAAAGACCACAACCCCAGCUGACAAAGAUGAAA
rnacentral:lncRNA from 1 species